GAUGAACGCUGGCGGCGUGCUUAACACAUGCAAGUCGAACGAGAAUCAACGGAUUGAGGAUUCGUCCAAAUGAAGUUGAGGAAAGUGGCGGACGGGUGAGUAACGCGUGAGGAACCUGCCUCGGAGUGGGGAAUAACAGUUGGAAACGACUGCUAAUACCGCAUAAUGUCAUUUGGGGGCAUCCCUGGAUGACCAAAGAUUUAUUGCUGAAAGAUGGUCUCGCGUCUGAUUAGCUGGUUGGCGGGGUAACGGCCCACCAAGGCGACGAUCAGUAGCCGGUCUGAGAGGAUGAACGGCCACAUUGGGACUGAGAUACGGCCCAG
rnacentral:rRNA from 1 species